ensembl:lncRNA
ACCCCCUGACCCAUCACGCGUCUCACCUCUCUGUCUGAGCUGUGCCACUGCUGAUUGGACAGAUCCAGGGUGUUGUCAGCACGCUUCCCUAUAAACACGGCUGAUUGGCCAGAACUCUUCAGGGCCUCGGAAAACCUGAGAGAGCUACAGCAGUGUUGUUACUACAAGAGAGAAAUGAGAGCCACACUCAAACCUGAGAGAGCUACAGCAGUGUUGUUACUACGAGAGAGAAAUGAGAGACACACUCAAACCUGACAGAGCUACAGCAGUGUUGUUACUACAAGAGAGAAAUGAGAGACACACUCUAGGAGCUCCGAUGCUCAGAUCAUUUAAUAACCAUUUACACAGAGGAGUUGUCUUCAUCACCCUUUUCCAGGUGUUCUACUCCCCUAGCCAGCACCUCCCCUAGCCAGCACCUCUCCUAAACAGGUGUUCUACUCCCCUAGCCAGCACCUCUCCUAAACAGGUGUUCUACUCCCCUAGCCAGCACCUCUCCUAAACAGGUGUUCUCCUCCCCUAGCCAGCACCUCUCCUAAACAGGUGUUCACCUCUCCUAAACAGGUGUUCUCCUCCCCUAGCCAGCACCUCUCCUAAACAGGUGUGUUUAUUUCUCCUCCAGGCUAAAACAAGAGGAACCACAUAUGGAAAAGAGGGGAAGGGUUUGUUGGUCAUACCUGUUGUUGUUGUUGUGUGUAGAUGUUGCUCUGUUGACAGGAGGCUGGUACAUGGUAGGACUCCCACCCCACAGCUCUUCACAAUACAGCUCCACUACCUGAUACAGAACACACAC